UACGGAGGGUGCGAGCGUUAUCCGGAUUCACUGGGUUUAAAGGGAGCGCAGGCGGAUUAGUAAGUCAGUGGUGAAAGCCUUAAGCUUAACUUGGGAACUGCCAUUGAUACUAUUAGUCUUGAAUGUUGUUGAGGUUUGCGGAAUGAGUCAUGUAGCGGUGAAAUGCAUAGAUAUGACCCGGAACACCUAUUGCGAAGGCAGCAGGCUAAACAAAUAUUGACGCUGAGGCUCGAAAGCGUGGGGAUCAAACAGG
rnacentral:rRNA from 1 species